rnacentral:lncRNA from 1 species
CGCAUCACCUGGCUCUCCCCGGGCCCACCAGCAUCCCUUGGACCCCAGGCCCUUGAUUCGGGGGUCCUGGG